rnacentral:rRNA from 1 species
UACAGAGGGUGCAAGCGUUGUUCGGAAUUAUUGGGCGUAAAGAGCUCGUAGGCGGCUCGUCGCGUCUGCUGUGAAAGCCCGGGGCUUAACCCCGGGUCUGCAGUGGGUACGGGCGGGCUAGAGUGCGGUAGGGGAGACUGGAAUUCCUGGUGUAGCGGUGAAAUGCGCAGAUAUCAGGAGGAACACCGGUGGCGAAGGCGGGUCUCUGGGCCGAUACUGACGCUGAGGAGCGAAAGCGUGGGGAGCGAACAGG